rnacentral:tRNA from 1 species
GGUGGCUCAGUGGUAGAAUGCUUGCCUUGCAUGCAUGAGGCCUGUGGUUCGAUUCCUCAGCACCA